rnacentral:rRNA from 1 species
AGAGUUUGAUCAUGGCUCAGGACGAACGCUGGCGGCGUGCUUAACACAUGCAAGUCGAACGGGCCUUCCUUCCUUUGGGGGGUUGGUCAGUGGCGAACGGGUGAGUAACACGUGGGCAACCUGCCCCCGGCUCUGGGAUAACUCCAAGAAAAUUGGGGCUAAUACCGGAUAUUUCCGCUGGCCGCAUCUGGUGGUGGAAAGUUUUUUCGGCUGGGGAUGGGCCCGCGGCCUAUCAGCUGUGGUGGGGUAGUGCCUACCAAGGCGACGACGGGUAGCCGGCUGAGAGGGUGACCGGCCACACUGGGACUGAGACACGGCCCAGACUCCUACGGGAGGCAGCAGUGGGGAAUAUUGCGCAAUGGGCGGAAGCCUGACGCAGCGACGCCGCGUGGGGGAUGACGGCCUUCGGGUUGUAAACCUCUUUCAGCAGGGACGAAGCGGUAGUGACGGUACCUGCAGAAGAAGCACCGGCCAACUACGUGCCAGCAGCCGCGGUAAUACGUAGGGUGCAAGCGUUGUCCGGAAUUAUUGGGCGUAAAGAGCUCGUAGGCGGUUCGUCGCGUCGGCUGUGAAAACCCGGACAACUCCGGCCUGCAGUCGAUACGGGCGGACUGGAGUUCGGCAGGGGAGACUGGAAUUCCUGGUGUAGCGGUGAAAUGCGCAGAUAUCAGGAGGAACACCGGUGGCGAAGGCGGGUCUCUGGGCCGAUACUGACGCUGAGGAGCGAAAGCGUGGGGAGCGAAAGGAUUAGAUACCCNNGUAGUCC